AUUGAACGCUGGCGGCAUGCCUUACACAUGCAAGUCGAACGGCAGCGGGUCCUUCGGGAUGCCGGCGAGUGGCGAACGGGUGAGUAAUGCAUCGGAACGUACCCAGUAGUGGGGGAUAACUUACCGAAAGGUAAGCUAAUACCGCAUACGCACUGAGGUGGAAAGCAGGGGACCGCAAGGCCUUGCGCUAUUGGAGCGGCCGAUGUCGGAUUAGCUAGUUGGUGGGGUAAAGGCCUACCAAGGCGACGAUCCGUAGCGGGUCUGAGAGGAUGAUCCGCCACACUGGAACUGAGACACGGUCCAGACUCCUACGGGAGGCAGCAGUGGGGAAUUUUGGACAAUGGGCGCAAGCCUGAUCCAGCCAUGCCGCGUGAGUGAAGAAGGCCUUCGGGUUGUAAAGCUCUUUCGGCCGGGAAGAAAUCGUGGUGGCGAAUACCUGCCAUGGAUGACGGUACCGGACUAAGAAGCACCGGCUAACUACGUGCCAGCAGCCGCGGUAAUACGUAGGGUGCGAGCGUUAAUCGGAAUUACUGGGCGUAAAGCGUGCGCAGGCGGUUGUGUAAGACAGGCGUGAAAUCCCCGGGCUCAACCUGGGAAUGGCGCUUGUGACUGCACGGCUGGAGUGCGGCAGAGGGAGGUGGAAUUCCACGU
rnacentral:rRNA from 1 species